rnacentral:ncRNA from 1 species
GAAAGCCGUAUUCGAUGAAAGUUGUAUGUACGGCUUGGAGUGAGAUCUUUCUUUCGAGAACCACCCUAC